rnacentral:rRNA from 1 species
GGACGAACGCUGGCGGCGUGCUUAACACCUGCAAGUCGAACGGAAAGGCCCUGCUUUUGUGGGGUGCUCGAGUGGCGAACGGGUGAGUAACACGUGAGUAACCUGCCCUUGACUUUGGGAUAACUUCAGGAAACUGGGGCUAAUACCGGAUAGGAGCUCCUGCUGCAUGGUGGGGGUUGGAAAGUUUCGGCGGUUGGGGAUGGACUCGCGGCUUAUCAGCUUGUUGGUGGGGUAGUGGCUUACCAAGGCUUUGACGGGUAGCCGGCCUGAGAGGGUGACCGGCCACAUUGGGACUGAGAUACGGCCCAGACUCCUACGGGAGGCAGCAGUGGGGAAUAUUGCACAAUGGGCGGAAGCCUGAUGCAGCAACGCCGCGUGCGGGAUGACGGCCUUCGGGUUGUAAACCGCUUUCGCCUGUGACGAAGCGUGAGUGACGGUAAUGGGUAAAGAAGCACCGGCUAACUACGUG